rnacentral:rRNA from 1 species
AGAAUCAACGCUGGCGGCGUGCCUAACACAUGCAAGUCGAACGAGAAAGUGGUAGCAAUACCAUGAGUAAAGUGGCGCACGGGUGAGUAACACGUGACUAACCUACCCUUGAGUGGGGGAUAACUGAGGGAAACCUUAGCUAAUACCGCAUAAUACCCACGGGUCAAAGGAGCAAUUCGCUCGAGGAGGGGGUCGCGGCCGAUUAGUUAGUUGGCAGGGUAAUGGCCUACCAAGACGAUGAUCGGUAUCCGGCCUGAGAGGGCGCACGGGACACACUGGAACUGAAACACGGUCCAGACUCCUACGGGAGGCAGCAGUGGGAAUUUUGCGCAAUGGGGGAAACCCUGACGCAGCAACGCCGCGUGGAGGAUGAAGUCCUUCGGGACGUAAACUCCUUUCGAUCGGGACGAUUAUGACGGUACCGGAAGAAGAAGCCCCGGCUAACUUCGCGCCAGCAGCCGC